UUUAUGUUACGUGAAAAACCUUAUAGUAUUUUUCCACUAGGUUUUUUCAUGUAGCUUCUAUGUGUUUUGGAAUGUAGCAUCGACGAAACUUCUUUUACUCGAAUGCGCGAAAUUUCUACGUGAUUAUUUUAGUAUGAAAAUUGAUGGCGAACGUUGAAGAUGCAGCGAGACUUGUGCUCGUCAAAUUUUAACAGAAAAAGUCAACUUCUGAACAUAGCAUCUUCUUAUCCGACGGCUACCGGAAUUCUGGCCGGUGCUGACAUAGGCGGUGAACUAAAGAUCUCCUUGAAGGCAAUUAGAUAACCUGGCAGUCUCCCUGACACCGAUUUCAUGCAUCGGAAUGGCAAUCUCGGUCCGUGCCACUGUGGUUCUUGGCGCCAUCGGAAAUUAAAAAGCCAUUCAAGUUGGGCAUUCCUGAGUGUGUCUCGAAUGAGUGCAAUUACGGGUUACAUCACUUUUGUUGGUGUCCGCUUUAUUUUAUCGUGGUGCCUUGAAAUAUACCUAUCGGUGGCGAUCUUUGGCAAGGAGACCAGGAUCAAGCACAUCGGGAUUAGCGAUUACCUGGCGGAAGAACAGGUCCCGCGACCUUGGGUAGACUAGCCGUACGUGUUUCAUCUGAAUGUUUCCGGCAAGAGGCACCAAAUUAUGUUCUAGUAUAUACUGCAGGACUGCAGGUGUUCUGAAGAUGCUAAUUAAUGAUAAAAUACAUUAGUUUCUGCAAAUACAAUUCUUUAUUAUUCUUUUUUGAAAAAAAAAUGCGACCAAAACAAGAACCUUCAACUAAAAAGUUCAUAUAAAUUUUAUUAAAACAAAUAAGUAAAACUCAUCGGUUGAUUCAUUUAGCUUUUACGUGUGAAACACGUAGAAUCGACGUGAAAUAAUCUGGUCAAUCAAAUCCCGUUUCUACUAGGGCCACCUAGUAGAAGCACAGACAACAGACGUAGCGGCUAGAACAAAAUAAUUUGAAAAUCGUGUGUAAAAACAUGGCUGCCGCAUCCUGCUAAUCUACUAGCGCCAUCUGUUAGCCUAUUGCCACUCUCUAAAGCAGCCAUGAUGGUUUUCUGAGAAGGUGUGUUUGAAAAUGCAUCACCCAGAAAUGUUUAAAAAAUAUAUUAUUUCAAUUUUUCGAAAUAAAAAUUAAAAAGGUAAAGAUUAUGUUUUUAUGCUAUAGUAAAUCUACUUUAAUUAUUAAUUAACACGAUUCACGAGCACAUGGAAGUUUUUUUUUCAUUUAAUUAUCGAUAUUAAAAAAAUAGUCUAGUCUGAUGCUUUUUUAAACACAGCAACCAAGGCCGCGCUUGAGGCUGUCAAAUUCUUGCUGGUUGUGUUUAUAAACAAAACCAACAGAGGUGAGCGAAAAGGAGGGAAGACCCGGUGGAAAUCGGGAGGAUGGGCAAGCGUUUUUUGGAGGAUAAAAGAUCCGUAACCAGAAACGAAACAAUCCGGAACUGUCGAAGAAGGAAAAACAGCAAGGUAUGACACGAUAUAGUCUGGAUGUCAUCCGCGCCGUCAGCAAGAGCUAUGAUCACGGCCAACCCCGUAAACGUUUUGGCCCCAAACGACCGCAUUCCGAAGAUUAUCUCCGGAACCGACAAACCAACUACCACGAUCAUUUCAACGCUCACCUUCAAGACAUCAACCUCUUCAACGCCCUCGAAACCCACCCCACCUUCAAGUGCCGCCACUUCCGGCGAACCCUCGUCGCCAUACCAAAGGCCUGAAUCUUGAAUGUUCUCCCCGGCAUGUCAGAUUCCCCCACCGGAUUUCUAGUGCAAGCGAUCCUCUAACACCAGAACCAGAACAAACGAUUACAAACGUUGAAACCCAACAAAAUGUAAAAUGACAGUAGGCGGAAAGUGAUAUUUUGACAGCGGGCAAUGUGUCAGGGCAAAGCGACUGCAGCGCCACAAACGGAUUGCCACAACUAAAAAAUCUGUAGCGAUGAUUUACACAAGGGAAGAAUCGAGCCCAAACGUCUGUUGUCUGUGGUAGAAGUUACGUGAAAACUGUAGUGGAAAAAAAAGCACAUAGCUUUUCACGUAACUUCAACGUGAAUAUUUUUUUGAGUGUGGUUUCAAGAAGUUCGAAAUGACUUUAUUGGAAUUUUCUGUUGCCUACAUUUAAAAUUGAGUACCUUAGUCAAAAUAAGGUAUUCGUACCGAAGUUUCUCAAGCGAAACUGGAGAAUCUCAGUUUGAUACCGGAAAAAGUAUUCAGCAAAAUGUUGACUUAGCAUGAUGAGUUUUCUUCGAUCAAUCCAUGAAAGUGAUCCACAUUUAAGUUUUAUGUUGGUUAGUACAAAACAUCAUAAAAAUUACCUUUAACCUAUCCUGAAGCUGUCAUAAACUCUAUAAUCAAAUAAAUUUUAAGAAUGUAAUAUCCCGACUUCAUUCUCACAAGUCUCUUGUAACAAAUCAUUUCCAGACCUCACACAUUUCUCGUCGUAGGUCAUUAAGCUGAAAAUUUCCAUCAGCUAGCAAACAACUUCAAGAGUCCACUUGAGGUCCUAGACCCUUGUACUCGAUUUUGUUAACUUGCAGCGAAGCAGAAAACAAUGUCUCAAAUUUCAUACGAAUUGAGACAUAGCAUUUCGCUUCAAGUGUUUACCAAAUGUGUCAACUCAAGUAUACCCGAGUCGACCGUUCUUAACUGCUUGCGUUCAAAGUUGAAUGGCCAUAAAUUAUCGAUUGCGCCAUCCACGCUGAACCAGCAAAUCCUUCAAUAACAACCAUGACCAUUCUCAUCAUGUAAAACCAUGGCUCUGUCCUUUUUUUCCAAUUAUAUAUUUUAUGCCAAGCCAGCUUAUCCAGCUGAGCGAAGUAAGUGUGAAAUCACCACAAAUGAACUUAAGUGAUUUCUCUAUCUCUCUCUCUCUCUCUCGUUUCAACCCACAAUGCAUACGAUUGGUUGAACGAUACAUAAUGCCAUUCCAUUCUUGGUACCUCCCAUUAAAUAAACAGCCAAAAUAAUCAUUGUAAACUUUCUUGUAAGAAAAAUCAAACAGAAUAAAGUAGUUUCAAUUUGGAGUCAGA